CCUACGGGGGGCAGCAGUGGGGAAUAUUGGACAAUGGGGGCAACCCUGAUCCAGCCAUACCGCGUGUGUGAAGAAGGCCCUCGGGUUGUAAAGCACUUUCAGUGAGGAAGAACGCCUGGUGGUUAAUACCCAUCAGGAAAGACAUCACUCACAGAAGAAGCACCGGCUAACUCCGUGCCAGCAGCCGCGGUAAUACGGAGGGUGCGAGCGUUAAUCGGAAUUACUGGGCGUAAAGCGCGCGUAGGUGGCUUGAUAAGCCGGUUGUGAAAGCCCCGGGCUCAACCUGGGAACGGCAUCCGGAACUGUCAAGCUAGAGUGCAGGAGAGGAAGGUAGAAUUCCCGGUGUAGCGGUGAAAUGCGUAGAGAUCGGGAGGAAUACCAGUGGCGAAGGCGGCCUUCUGGACUGACACUGACACUGAGGUGCGAAAGCGUGGGUAGCAAACAGGAUUAGAUACCCCAGUAGUC
rnacentral:rRNA from 1 species